UGAGGAAUUUUGGGCAAUGGGCGCAAGCCUGACCCAGCGACGCCGCGUGGGCGAUGAAGGUUUUCGGAUCUUAAAGCCCUGUGAGUUGGGAAGAAGGGGUUAGUUGCUAAUAUCAACUAAUUCUGACAGUACCAACAGAGGAAGCCCCGGCUAACUACGUGCCAGCAGCCGCGGUAAUACGUAGGGGGCAAGCGUUGUUCGGAAUUACUGGGCGUAAAGCGCGUGUAGGCGGUUUAAUAAGUCAGGAGUGAAAUCCCUCGGCUCAACUGAGGAACUGCUUUUGAAACUAUUAAACUUGAGUAUGGGCGGGGAGAGCGGAAUUCCCGGUGUAGCGGUGAAAUGCGUAGAUAUCGGGAAGAACACCAGUGGCGAAGGCGGCUCUCUGGACCAUCACUGACGC
rnacentral:rRNA from 1 species